AUGGCGUUGGACCUUCCAGUUAAGACAAUUGAAGCUGCCAACAAAAUUUGUAGAGGGUUUCUAUGGAAGGGUCGACGCGACGUACACGGAGGGCACUGUUUGGUGGCCUGGGACAAAGUCUGUUCGCCCAAGGAAUACGCUGGGCUGGGAGUGCCCAACUUGCGCCUUCUCAAUACUUCGCUGAGAGCGAGAUGGCCGUGGCUGGCACGGACGGAUACGACCAGACCAUGGGCAGAAUUUAAUCUCCAAGUCUCAUCGGACUCGCUAGCCAUCUACAGAGCAGCCACGAAAUGCAUCUUGGGGGAUGGAGCCACGGUACUAUUCUGGACGGAUUGGUGGCUCCAGGAGGGACGCAUACAUGACAUCAUGCCAAACCUAUUCAGUGUCGUCAAGAAGAGCGCAGCCAAGGUCAGAACAGUGAGAGAAGCGAUGUCUGGG
rnacentral:rRNA from 1 species